CGGGCGCUGCCCGGUACGAGCCUACACGAAUAUCCCUGAGGCGAUACAACAUCCAAGGGAGCUGUCCCUGCCCGGGUUGCGGGAUUUGAAAUAGAAUCCGGAUCCGGUGCAUAUGGCGCCCACCUGACGUUACUGGCGUCAGAGGAUUUUCGGGCAAACGACCAUGGCGGCCCCGCC
rnacentral:other from 1 species